AGGAGUGUAGCUCAAUUGGCAGAGCAUCGGUCUCCAAAACCGAGGGCUGCGGGUUCGAUUCCUGCCACUCCUGCCA
rnacentral:tRNA from 1 species